CGUCUUCAGGGCAGGGUGAAAUUCCCGAUCGGCGGUAAAGUCCGCGAGCCGUAAGGCUGACCCGGUGCAACUCCGGGACCGACAGUUACAGUCUGGAUGAAAGAAGAUG
rnacentral:ncRNA from 1 species